rnacentral:rRNA from 1 species
UACGGAGGGUGCAAGCGUUAUCCGGAUUCACUGGGUUUAAAGGGUGCGUAGGCGGGUAGGUAAGUCAGUGGUGAAAUCCUUGAGCUCAACUCCGGAACUGCCAUUGAUACUAUUUAUCUUGAAUAUUGUGGAGGUAAGCGGAAUAUGUCAUGUAGCGGUGAAAUGCUUAGAUAUGACAUAGAACACCCAUUGCGAAGGCAGCUUACUACGCAUAUAUUGACGCUGAGGCACGAAAGCGUGGGGAUCAAACAGGAUUAGAAACCCCUGUAGUCU